AGCCUGUCCGGUGGCAGCGGAUGUGAGGGAUGAUGCAGGCAGACAGGAAGCCCUCAGAGGCCACCCGCCUGCCAGUGUGUUCUGCCGGCCUCAUUGCACACUCAGGAUGGGGGGCCCUCAAUGAAGAUCCCGACUGGCAGGGAGUUGGCGGACAUGCAGCUGGAGGCGGGGCUGCUGUGGCCCGGGGUAGCCCUGCUACUGCUGCUGCUUCUGGGGGCGGCAGCCGGCUUAUGUGUGAGCUGCUCCCGCCCAGGUGUGAAGAGCUCAGAGAAGAUCUACGAGCAGAGGAGUCUAUGCCCCAGCCCCAGCCCGUCUGUCUCCCUGUCCCUCUGUCUCGGGACAAUGGCAAGCUGGGUCACUGUGAGUUGUGUGUCCAGACAGGAGACCCAGCAGAGCUUCGCCGUGGCCCGGACCUACUCCCUGGCCAGGCAGGUCUGUCUGGGGACCCUGGGGGACAAGGCGUGUGAUGUGGAGGCAGCAAGGACGGACAAGUUGCGUUGCUUCUCCUCCAGCCAAGAGGACUCAGAGGCCCCCAGGUACCAGAACUUCAGCAAAGGAAGCAGACUCGGGUCUGAGGCCGCCUAUGUAGACCCCAUCGCCUCAGAGUAUUACAACUGGGGAUGCUUCCACAAGCCCCUUGAAGGUGAUGAGGAUGCCAACUCCUAUGAGAACGUGCUCAUCUGCAGCCAGAGCCCUGAGUCAGGUGACGAUGACUACCAGAACGCCCUCUCGGUCCAGCAGUGGCAUGAGUCCAGGAGGGUCUCGGGUGGGUUUCAGGCUCAGGGGGGGGUCACUUUGGGGGUCAGCGUGUCACCUCCCCAAGUCACCUCUCCCCCCCACCUCUGUAGAGCAAAUCCACAGAGUGACGCCUCCCUCCCCGGAUGAGGAUGGGGACCCAGAUUAUGUGAACGGGGAUAUGAAUAUGGGACAGGCCUAGGGAGGCCGAGACCAAGGAGCCGCCUCCCCCAGCUUGUAGCAUCUGUGCCCAAUGGAGGGGCCGGUGAUGAGGCUGGGCUCAGCGUAGGUGGCACUCCUGUGCCUGUGAAGUUCAUCAAGAGACACCGUCCCUGUCCCCCUGCUCCGCCUCCUCCCCCUCCUGCAAGGUACCGGCCUCACACGCACUCCCCGAAGCCGCCUCCAGGGGGCGCCCGCGAACGCAGCUUCCGAACUCGGGAACUGAGUAUCCUGACCUUUGGUGGAACCGAGUACUGUGCAGUGCGCCCCGGUGUGAGGGUGCAGGAAACGCAUCCUGUCGGCCCUGACACCCCACUCCCCGCCCACCUUCUUCGCGACAUGAGUCUCCAGGUCCCAGCCUGGGACAGAAUGAGGCCUCCCUUCUGACAGCAGCCGGGGCGGCUUCACCAAGAAGCAUCUCUGGACAGGAAGGUCACGCCUCCAGUGACAAGGGACAGUGGGGCUGGAGGGAGGGAUGGCCAGGGACCAGGCCUGUUCCUCCCAAGUGCUAGUCUUUCUGGGAUUGCUGGGUUUCUUCCCAGGAGGAUUUCAUACCAGCAGAGAAAUCAGAAAA